rnacentral:rRNA from 1 species
GAGAUAACUCCUACGGGAGGCAGCAGUGGGGAAUAUUGGACAAUGGGCGCAAGCCUGAUCCAGCCAUGCCGCGUGUGUGAUGAAGGCCUUAGGGUUGUAAAGCACUUUCACCGGAGAAGAUAAUGACGGUAUCCGGAGAAGAAGCCCCGGCUAACUUCGUGCCAGCAGCCGCGGUAAUACGAAGGGGGCUAGCGUUGUUCGGAAUUACUGGGCGUAAAGCGCACGUAGGCGGAUAUUUAAGUCAGGGGUGAAAUCCCAGAGCUCAACUCUGGAACUGCCUUUGAUACUGGGUAUCUUGAGUAUGGAAGAGGUAAGUGGAAUUGCGAGUGUAGAGGUGAAAUUCGUAGAUAUUCGCAGGAACACCAGUGGCGAAGGCGGCUUACUGGUCCAUAACUGACGCUGAGGUGCGAAAGCGUGGGGAGCAAACAGGAUUAGAAACCCGUGUAGUCCUCCACU